rnacentral:rRNA from 1 species
UACGAAGGGGGCGAGCGUUUGUUCGGAAUUACUGGGCGUAAAGGGCGCGUAGCGGCGCCGGAAGUCAGAUGUGAAAGCCCCGGGCUCAACCUGGGAACUGCAUUUUGAUACUCUGGUGCUGGAGUUCGGGAGAGGAGAGUGGAAUUCCCAGUGUAGAGGUGAAAUUCGUAGAUAUUCGGAAGAACACCAGUGGCGAAGGCGACUCACUGGACACGGUAUUGACGCUGAGGUGCGAAAGCGUGGGGAGCAACAGGGAUUA